UACAGAGGUCUCAAGCGUUGUUCGGAUUCAUUGGGCGUAAAGGGUGCGUAGGCGGCUAGGUAGGUCCGUUGUGAAAACUCGAGGCUCAACCUCGAGACGCCGGUGGAAACCAUCUAGCUAGAGUCCGGAAGAGGAGAGUGGAAUUCCUGGUGUAGCGGUGAAAUGCGCAGAUAUCAGGAAGAACACCCGUGGCGAAAGCGGCUCUCUGGGACGUGACUGACGCUGAGACGCGAAAGCGUGGGGAGCGAACAGG
rnacentral:rRNA from 1 species